rnacentral:rRNA from 1 species
AGCGAACGCUGGCGGCAGGCCUAACACAUGCAAGUCGAACGGACCCUUCGGGGUUAGUGGCGGACGGGUGAGUAACACGUGGGAACGUGCCUUUAGGUUCGGAAUAGCUCCUGGAAACGGGUGGUAAUGCCGAAUGUGCCCUUCGGGGGAAAGAUUUAUCGCCUUUAGAGCGGCCCGCGUCUGAUUAGCUAGUUGGUGAGGUAAUGGCUCACCAAGGCGACGAUCAGUAGCUGGUCUGAGAGGAUGACCAGCCACAUUGGGACUGAGACACGGCCCAGACUCCUACGGGAGGCAGCAGUGGGGAAUCUUGCGCAAUGGGCGAAAGCCUGACGCAGCCAUGCCGCGUGGAUGAUGAAGGUCUUAGGAUGGUAAAAUCCUUUCACCGGUGAAGAUAAUGACUGUAGCCGGAGAAGAAGCCCCGGCUAACUUCGUGCCAGCAGCCGCGGUAAUAC